AUUGAACGCUGGCGGCAGGCCUAACACAUGCAAGUCGAGCGGAUGACGGGAGCUUGCUCCUUGAUUCAGCGGCGGACGGGUGAGUAAUGCCUAGGAAUCUGCCUGGUAGUGGGGGACAACGUUUCGAAAGGAACGCUAAUACCGCAUACGUCCUACGGGAGAAAGCAGGGGACCUUCGGGCCUUGCGCUAUCAGAUGAGCCUAGGUCGGAUUAGCUAGUUGGUGGGGUAAUGGCUCACCAAGGCGACGAUCCGUAACUGGUCUGAGAGGAUGAUCAGUCACAAUGGAACUGGGACACGGUCCAGACUCCUACGGGAGGCAGCAGUGGGGAAUAUUGGACAAUGGGCGAAAGCCUGAUCCAGCCAUGCCGCGUGUGUGAAGAAGGUCUUCGGAUUGUAAAGCACUUUAAGUUGGGAGGAAGGGCAGUAAGUUAAUACCUUGCUGUUUUGACGUUACCGGCAGAAUAAGCACCGGCUAACUCUGUGCCAGCAGCCGCCGUAA
rnacentral:rRNA from 1 species